rnacentral:lncRNA from 1 species
GAUGAAGGAGACAGUGACUCAAACACAGACCAGGAAGCAGGAAGUAGUGAAGAUGAGGAGGAGGAGGAAGACGAGGAGGAAGGAGAAGAGGAGGAAGGAGGACAAAAAGUAACUAUCCAUGAUAAAACAGAAAUCAACCUAGUCUCGUUUCGCCGUACAAUAUAUCUUGCUAUUCAGUCAAGUUUAGAUUUUGAAGAAUGUGCACACAAGUUGCUGAAAAUGGAGUUUGCUGAGAGCCAAACAAAAGAACUCUGCAACAUGAUACUUGAUUGCUGUGCCCAACAAAGAACCUAUGAAAAAUUUUUUGGCCUGUUAGCUGGGCGGUUUUGUAUGCUGAAAAAAGAGUACAUGGAAUCAUUUGAAAGUAUAUUCAAGGAACAGUACGACACCAUCCACCGCCUAGAGACAAACAAAUUGAGAAAUGUUGCUAAGAUGUUCGCUCACCUUUUAUACACAGACUCACUU